CCUACGGGCGGCAGCAGUGGGGAAUAUUGGUCAAUGGGCGUAAGCCUGAACCAGCGAAGCCGCGUGAGGGAAGAAGGAUCUCUGGUUGUUAAACUCCGUUUGUAGGGGAGUAAGGUUAUCCAGGUCUUGAUCUUUGAAUUUACCCUAUCUAUAAGCAUCGGAUAACUCCGUGCCAGCAGCCGCGGUAAUACGGAGGAUGCGAGCGUUAUCCGGAUUUAUUGGGUGUAAAGGGAGCGUAGGCUGGUUUGUAAGUCAGCGGUGAAAGUUUGUGGCUCAACCAUAAAAUUGCCGUUGAAACUGGAAGACUUGAGUGUGUUAGAGGUAGGCGGAAUGCGUGGUGUAGCGGUGAAAUGCGUAGAUAUCAGGAAGAACUCCGAUUGCGAAGGCAGCUUACUGGGCCAUAACUGACGCUGAGGCACGAAAGCGUGGGGAUCAAACAGGAUUAGAUACCCUUGUAGUC
rnacentral:rRNA from 1 species